AGAAUUCAUUGGGUCACUAUGUUCCUCUAGUUGAUACAUGUUUGGAAAUGUUUUCUUUGUUGGGUUUCUAUAUAAACAACAACCUUAGUGGACAGAAGUGUCUUGCAUAGCACUGUCUGUCCAGUAGUCGUAGGUACUGCUUCACUGUUGUUUUAGCAUUGAAUGUGAGUACUAUGAAAUAGGCCAAACCUUGGGUCAGAAAACCUUCUCUGAGUGCAAACAUUGUACCUUAAAGUUCACUAGUUUCAUUGCAGAUCGUUUGGUCUCUCUCUCUCUCUUUUUUUAAAGGAACAUAUUAAGAGCUUUAAUUUCAGGGAAGUUUCCUUCUAUUUUAUCUUUGAAUAUGUUUUUCUGUUCUAUUUGUUCUUUUCUUUCUUCAGGAACAUCAGUCAUGGGUAUGUGGAAUCUCCUUUGUCAGUCAACAUGUCUGUCAUCUUUUCUCUAAUCAUUCUGACCCCAGUGCUUUCCUGUUUGCUUCUCUGAAGCCGUCUCCAUGUCACUGUUUGCAGGAUUGCCCUAUGUUGUGCUGCUUCUCAUGGGAUUUUUCUUCAUUUGCUGUUUUAUGUUCUCCUCAUUUUCUUCCUUAGGUCCUGCUAGCUCCUAUGUGUUGGUUCAUGAUUCUUUCAGCCUCAUAUGUGUAGUUUGAGAGUGUCGAGCUGAACUUGGGUUGAAAGUUGAUUCUUCUGGCUCUUUCUAGUUAGGAACUUCUCUUUGUGUUGGUAUUAGGGUAAAGGCUUUUGUCAUCAGUAACCAUUUUUUUUUGGGUCAGUGCCGUUUUCUCUAUUUCGCUGCUUUCUAAAAGUGAUCUGAAGCAAUUGAAAAUUUUAUUGUGUGUGUGUGUUUGUGUGUGUGUGUGUGUGUGUGUGUGUGUGUGCGUGUGUGUACAUGUAAACACAUUCUUACUAGAAUUUACUUAUUUCUCUUUUCUGAGGAAAAAGUGUUAAUUGAGCCCAACCACAAAGUGAAGUUACUAUUUUGACCAUGAUAUAGCUAUAUGAGUUAUAUUAAUUCAUAAGUGAUUUUGUUUUGUAACUGUUGUCUGUAUCCCUCAGGUAGUUUCAGGGAAUAUUUUUAAAAUUCUUUUAAUGAUUUAUAAACAAAAUAGAAGACCAUAUGAAUUGCCAUAGAGGUGAACCCAUGAUGACUUAAAAAUUUUCAAAUUGCUUGACAUUAUUACUAAUUGAAAUGAAAAAUUAAAAUUGUGUCUUUUCUUGACCAGAUACAGUGAUAGCUUUAAUGCCAGCAUGCCAGAGGCAAAGGUAGACAGAUUUCAUUUUAAGCCAGCCCUGUCUUCUUAGCAAGUUCUAGGACAGUCAGAGCUACAUAGUGUCUUAAAAAACAAACAAGCAAACAAUGAUAACAAUGCGGGCUUUUCUUGAAGAACAGUAUACCCAAGUUUCUGCUUUUACUGGUACCAACUGACUGAGUUUGUUAGGAUAGCAUGCACUCAUCAUGAGAGAUAAUUCCCACCACCGUAUUU
rnacentral:lncRNA from 1 species